AGGACUUUAUUUCCUGGUGGCAAAGCCACAGAUCCUGAGCUCAGUGCUGAGAGCCGCCCCACCCUGGUAGACCGCCCGACUUUAUGAUUUCUACUGGCUGCAGGCUGCAUGGGAAGGACCCGCGAGACUCUCUAGAUGCGCAAUGCCUGCUGGAGUACUGAGAUGCCAGGAAUGUGCCACCAUGCCUGGCUAAGCUAGGAGCUUCUUCAUCACCACUAUUAACCAGGAUCACUGUGCUUGGUGAAAUGAAACUUCAGUGAGGCAUGGUGCUGCCCACCUUUCAUCUGAGCCACUUGGGACACUGAGGCUGGAUUAUUGAAAUAACAAGUCCAGGCUGGAGAAUGGACCAAGACCCAGAUCAACAUAUGGCUGCCACCACAAGAAAGAGAAGCCUUAACCUUGUCAGAAAAAGGAAAGAAAAGGCCCAAAUCCAUGCACUUAGGAAUGAAAAGGGUGAAAUUACAACAGACCCAGCAGAAAUCCAGAGGAUCAUCAAUACCUACUUCCAGAACCUAUAC